UACGUAGGUGGCAAGCGUUGUCCGGAUUUACUGGGCGUAAAGAGCGCGCAGGCGGUCGUUCAAGUCGCGUGUGAAAGCCCCCGGCUCAACUGGGGAGGGUCACGCGAUACUGAUCGACUGGAAGGCAGGAGAGGGUAGUGGAAUUCCCGGUGUAGUGGUGAAAUGCGUAGAUAUCGGGAGGAACACCAGUGGCGAAGGCGACUACCUGGCCUGUUCUUGACGCUGAGGCGCGAAAGCUAGGGGAGCAACGGG
rnacentral:rRNA from 1 species